GUUCCUCCUUUCAUUGAGAGCAAAAACCAGCAAUUUUUUCCUUGCUUUGUGCCUGUCGUUUUUUCCCCCCUUUUCUUGCCUUUGUGGCUAUCUUCUAAGGGAGCCUUUGUGAUUGAAAUAGCACUCCAUUUUUGUGUCCUUUUGUGGGUGUAAUCUUUAGCAAUCAAAGUAAAUAAGUGGUGUGGUUUUGGAUCGUCGAUUGGAGGUGUUUGAAAAGGUCGAGAUUGGUAAACUGGGCCUGGAAAUACACCUUGAAGGCACUCUUCCACGACAAUUGGUAUCAAGCAACUUUGGUAGUGGAUUUUCAGCCAAAAAUUGAUCAGAAAACACCCAAAAAUUGACUUAAAAAAUGAAAUAGAAACUGUCCAUUUUUAUUUUUUUUACAACCCACUGGACUUGUUUUUGUGUUUUUUGACCAAACCAGUGGCCAGUUGGAGAAACCAAGACCACAGGCAGACUCUGCCGGUGGAGGCACUCCAGAUUCAACUACUAGUAACCGGCGAGUAGGACUCCAACGAAGGCGCGUGACAAUUGGGCAGUUUCAGGCGAUAGUUGCUUCAAGCAAAAUAUUUCUAAUGUGAUUAUUAAGGAUUUGAUGUUAGUUUCCUGUUUCGACUCAUACAGUGAAAUCUGGACAACUUUGCCCCUGCACAUUUGUGAUUUGAUUUUUUGCUCGAUUGGUUGCUGCGGUACUUGGAGACUUUUGGGUGAAUAGUAAGGGUCCUAAAGAAACAAAUUCAAAUUUCUCGUUAUUUACGGACUCAGAUUGAUCCGCUCUAAUAAAUUGGCAUGUCUCAUUUAAAUUUCAGCAUUAGCGCGUCAUGUUAGGGGUUAUAUUAGAAUCGAAGUUACCAUGAAAGGGUAACCGUUGCGUUAGAAUUUCAGAAGAUAUUUGUCAUAUUUGAAGUGUUGGAUUUAAUUGCAAGCUGAUUAUUGAUUCUGUAUUUAAUUGUCAUUAAGUCACUAUGUGAGAUUGUAUUGUGUGAGAAAUUGAUUUUGUUGACAUACAUUUGUGUUGCAUUGAACAUUCCAUUGAAC
rnacentral:lncRNA from 1 species